UCUCCGUUGGUGAACCAGCGGAGGGAUCAUUACCGAGUUUACAACUCCCAAACCCAAUGUGAACCAUACCAAACUGUUGCCUCGGCGGGGUCACGCCCCGGGUGCGUCGCAGCCCCGGAACCAGGCGCCCGCCGGAGGGACCAACCAAACUCUUUCUGUAGUCCCCUCGCGGACGUUAAUUUUACAGCUCUGAGCAAAAAUUCAAAAUGAAUCAAAACUUUCAACAACGGAUCUCUUGGUUCUG
rnacentral:misc_RNA from 1 species